GGAAAGAAAGGAAAAUGAAACAAAAGAAUGCUACUGCAUUCUUAUACCUCCACGAUGCACGACACCUUCAUAUUCUCCAUCUUUUACCUCUCUUCAACUCCUUGUUUCAUUUAUCGACAAAGCUACAAGAUUUUCCGUCAACUAUCAUUAUACACCAACCGUAGUUCGUCCACCUUCACUAGCUCUUAGUGUUGUGGGUUUAUCGAAGGAAGAUAGUUAUUCUUGGGCUUGCGGUUUCGAGUUGUGAAUCAAAUCAAAGAGCGGUUUUGUGGUUCCUUUUAUAGGGUAAUUUCACCCUCAUUACUUCCCCUUAAUCAAGGUUUGAUGGUGACUAGCUUAUAUUGGGGUGAGAGCGUUGACUUCACCUAGAUGUAGAUUUAUUAAAGUUAAGACUUCCUCUGCAAUAGAUUAUAAUUAUGGUUUGUUAUAGGAGUGUAUUAAUUAAUUAUAUUUUCUUUUAGUUGUAAUAGUUAAUAAUUAAUUUAUGUAUUAGUAGUAGUACCUUUCGCCUUGCUGUUAUUAAAUGUUUAAUAACCGCGGCAUAACAGCUCUUGAAUUGUC